UGGGAGGUCGUCUAAUGGUAGGACAUGGGACUUUGAAUCCCAGAAUGAAGGUCCGAUUCCUUCCCUCCCAGCCA
rnacentral:tRNA from 1 species